GGGAAACCGGGGCUAAUACCAGAUAAACCUUUUCCUCACAGGAGGGGAAGCUGAAAGACGGUUUCGGCUGUCACUUACAGAUGGGCCCGCGGCGCAUUAGCUAGUUGGUGAGGUAACGGCUCACCAAGGCAACGAUGCGUAGCCGACCUGAGAGGGUGAUCGGCCACACUGGGACUGAGACACGGCCCAGACUCCUACGGGAGGCAGCAGUAGGGAAUCUUCCGCAAUGGACGAAAGUCUGACGGAGCAACGCCGCGUGAACGAUGAAGGCUUUCGGGUCGUAAAGUUCUGUUGUCAGGGAAGAACAAGUACCGGAGUAACUGCCGGUACCUUGACGGUACCUGACCAGAAAGCCACGGCUAACUACGUGCCAGCAGCCGCGGUAAUA
rnacentral:rRNA from 1 species